rnacentral:rRNA from 1 species
AACGAACGCUGGCGGCAUGCCUAACACAUGCAAGUCGAACGAAGCCUUCGGGCUUAGUGGCGCACGGGUGCGUAACGCGUGGGAAUCUGCCCCUCGGUUCGGAAUAACAGUUAGAAAUGACUGCUAAUACCGGAUGAUGACGAAAGUCCAAAGAUUUAUCGCCGAGGGAUGAGCCCGCGUAGGAUUAGCUAGUUGGUGAGGUAAAGGCUCACCAAGGCGACGAUCCUUAGCUGGUCUGAGAGGAUGAUCAGCCACACUGGGACUGAGACACGGCCCAGACUCCUACGGGAGGCAGCAGUGGGGAAUAUUGGACAAUGGGCGAAAGCCUGAUCCAGCAAUGCCGCGUGAGUGAUGAAGGCCUUAGGGUCGUAAAGCUCUUUUACCAGGGAUGAUAAUGACAGUACCUGGAGAAUAA